rnacentral:tRNA from 1 species
GUUUUUAUAGUUGAAUAACAACGAUGAUUUUUCAUGUCAUUGGUCA